rnacentral:rRNA from 1 species
AGUGAACGCUGGCGGUAGGCCUAACACAUGCAAGUCGAACGGCAGCACAGUAAGAGCUUGCUCUUACGGGUGGCGAGUGGCGGACGGGUGAGGAAUGCAUCGGAAUCUACUUUUUCGUGGGGGAUAACGUAGGGAAACUUACGCUAAUACCGCAUCCGCCCUACGGGUGAAAGCAGGGGAUCUUCGGACCUUGCGCGAUUGAAUGAGCCGAUGUCGGAUUAGCUAGUUGGCGGGGUAAAGGCCCACCAAGGCGACGAUCCGUAGCUGGUCUGAGAGGAUGAUCAGCCACACUGGAACUGAGACACGGUCCAGACUCCUGCGGGAGGCAGCAGUGGGGAAUAUUGGACAAUGGGCGCAAGCCUGAUCCAGCCAUACCGCGUGGGUGAAGAAGGCCUUCGGGUUGUAAAGCCCUUUUGUUGGGAAAGAAAAGCAGCAGGUUAAUACCCCGCUGUUCUGACGGUACCCAAAGAAUAAGCACCGGCUAACUUCGUG